rnacentral:rRNA from 1 species
UGGGGAAUAUUGGAAAAUGGGCGAAAGCCUGAUCCAGCCAUGCCGCGUGUGUGAAGAAGGUCUUCGGAUUGUAAAGCACUUUAAGUUGGGAGGAAGGGCAGUAAGCGAAUACCUUGCUGUUUUGACGUUACCGACAGAAUAAGCACCGGCCAACUCUGUGCCAGCAGCCGCGGUAAUACAGAGGGUGCAAGCGUUAAUCGGAAUUACUGGGCGUAAAGCGCGCGUAGGUGGUUCGUUAAGUUGAAUGUGAAAGCCCCGGGCUCAACCUGGGAACUGCAUCCAAAACUGGCGGGCUAGAGUAGGGCAGAGGGUGGUGGAAUUUCCUGUGUAGCGGUGAAAUGCGUAGAUAUAGGAAGGAACACCAGUGGCGAAGGCGACCACCUGGGCUCAUACUGACACUGAGGUGCGAAAGCGUGGGGAGCAAACAGG